AGUUGUUGACAUUUUCUCUCUCUGCUAUAGCAGUGACUGGAGCAUACUCACUCAUUUUCUUACCCAGGCAGCCCCUACCUGUUCCUGACAGUCAAAGUCUAGGCUGAACCCCUACCAGCAGGCAGUUGAGGCAGGAGUGAAGCUAGGGUGGUGCUCCACAGACCAAACAAUGCACCCCUAUAGAGUCUCCAGUGAGCUGGACAUUUUGUCCCCUGUGUAUCCAAACCCAAGGUCUCUGUUGGCACUGGAAGUGACAGAGCUAAAAGGGAUAAGUAUGACCAAAGCAUGUCAUUUGUGUGUAGGAAAAUGUCACAGGAAAGCCCAAUCUUUGUAAAAUGUGUAUGCACUAAAAUAUACCCCACCUCCAACAAAACCCCUAAAAACAAAGAAACAACAACAAAACAAAAUAAAACCUUGGGUUUUCCUGAGAUUACUCACUGGGGCAAAGAGCUAGAAAACCAUGUGUUGAUGCAUUGCUGCAUUUAGUAUAAAAAGAGCCCUAAAGAAAACAAAGCAGUAGGAGCCUUGAAACUGCUUAGGGCCACUGGGGCCUUUUCUUGCAGUACCAAGUGUGUGUUGUUGGGCACCCUCUGCCUGCACUGGUGCCAUAGCCCUCUGCAUGCCCUUCCUUCUCCCUAGGGUAUCACUGCUCUCCUCCUCCCAUCCCUCCAGCACCUGCUCUAGAAGCCCUGGGACUUAGGCUGCUCAUGGAAGGCUGGUAAAGAUGGAAAGCUGGACCUCCUGCUAAGACACUAUAACCACUUCGUUUCUCUUUUAAAUUAAAUCAAAUUUCUUUCAUACAGGUAUUUACCAUAUAUGGCAAAUGUCCCUUAACCUCUACCUGUGUUCGCCCUUUGACUUCCAUCUUUGCCCCAAAUUUCACCAUGUAGUUUCACGUCUGUUUGCGUAUUAUUGUUUUUUGAACUUGUUGUCUUCCAUUUCAACGAGAAUUGCACAAAGCACUGAAGUUCCCUUUCAUACUUCCUGGAAUGACUAAAUGCUCAAAGUCCAAGAACAGCCACACCGUGUAAUUCAUAAAGCUAGUCCACUUCACGUCACCAAGCAUUCACACCUUGGCUAUAUAUUGGCCAUCCAGAUCUUACAGCUUGUCAGUCUAUAGACCCGAAACAGCUGGGAGCUUUCCAUACUCAGAGCUUCAAGGAACUCAACUUCCAAAACACAGAGAAUCUUGGCUCCUUGGCAUCUUCAGAGUCUCUUCUAUCAAAGCACAGGCUGCCGAGGACUUGGAGUCACCGGAGCUGUGGUCUCCUGCUCUGGAGGAGGCUACACAACGUGGAAUUCCCUCUCUUGAGCACAAAGGACUUCAAGCAACUCAGAUCCUGCACAAGGUAGGGUGAGCCAAGUGUAUACCAGCAUCCUGCAGACCCAUUUUCUUUCUCUUUCUGUCCCCAUCCCAACAAUAGGUCCUGGCUAUUGAUCUGGGAUGACUAGGAGUUGAUGGUUCAAACCACUGUCUCAUGUAAACCCUGGAGAGUUUCUGUUCUUCCUAGAAUCUUUGGCUGCUUGGCAUCUCCACAGCCUCUUCUCCCAAAGCACAGGCUGCUGAGGACCUGGACACUGCAGG